GUACCCGCUGAACUUAAGCAUAUCAAUAAGCGGAGGAAAAGAAACCAACAGGGAUUGCCUUAGUAACGGCGAGUGAAGCGGCAACAGCUCAAAUUUGAAAUCUGGCCCCUAGGGUCCGAGUUGUACUUUGUAGAGGAUGUUUUUGGCACGGUGCCUUCCGAGUUCCCUGGAACGGGACGCCACAGAGGGUGAGAGCCCCGUAUGGUUGGACACUACGCCUUUGUAAAGCUCCUUCAACGAGUCGAGUAGUUUGGGAAUGCUGCUCUAAAUGGGAGGUAAAUCUCUUCUAAAGCUAAAUACUGGCCAGAGACCGAUAGCGCACAAGUAGAGUGAUCGAAAGAUGAAAAGCACCUUGAAAAGGGGGUUAAACAGUACGUGAAAUUGUUGAAAGGGAAGCACUUGUCCCCAGACGUGUGCCGGCGGUUCCGCAGGGGCUUGCCCCUGUCUAUGCCGUUGUGUACAGGCCAGCAUCUGUUUUCGCCGGGGGAGAAGAACGGGCGGAACGUGGCUCUUUCGAGAGUGUUAUAGCCUUCCGUACGAUGCCCUGGCGGGGACAGAGGUCCGCGCAUUGCUAGGAUGCUGGCGUAAUGGGGACCAGUGACCCGUCUUGAAACCGAAA
rnacentral:rRNA from 1 species